UUAUAUUAGGUUGGUGCAAAAGUAAUUGUGAUUUUUGCCAUAAGUUUUAAUGGCAAAAUCUGCAAUUUCUUUUGCACCAGCCUAAUA
rnacentral:miRNA from 1 species